GGUGGUAUAGGUCAGCGGUAGAGUGCUCCUUUAGCAUAGGAGUGUACUGGGGUUCGGUUCCCCAUAUCUCUA